rnacentral:lncRNA from 1 species
AGGAUGCGUGGGGGGAGUGAGCGAGUCGUCUUUGUUUUUUCUUAGCUGCAGUCUAGCCUACGUCAAGGUGCGGAUCAGGGACUCAUUCACUUGUUCGCAAGGAAGAACAGUUGUAGGAUGUUUGCAGUUGUGGUUUUACUAACUCUCUAGCCCCAGCCUUUUUCUUUUCGGGUCGACUAUCUGUUCUGCCUUUCAGAGCGCUAUUUUCAAAACGCUUUUGUAGUGUAGUUUUCAUCACACGGUGUCCAGUGUUUCCAAGUUAGAGAACGUUUCCAGGUAGCCUACAAUUGAUGGAGUUCUAUCAGAUGAUUUUGUGUCCGCAACAAAGAUUUGAAGGAAAUCCAACCGUUAACCUGCUCUCAUUUGGGUAGCCUCCCUGUUGUCAUGAAAACGGCAGAUCUGAGCGCCUGUCAUGGACAGAGGACAAAAAGACAGUAACGAAGAGGGCGCAGCCGGGAAUCCAGGGAAAAACUUUCGAGUGGCCAUUCGCUUAUGCCCCCAGCGACAUUGGGACCCACAAACAGGUCACACGUUUUCUAAGAUAUCCCCUUGCAGACUUGCACUGGCCCAGUGUGGUGUUCACACACAUGCUGGUGAUCCAGCCAUAUCACAAACUUUAUGCCAGUCUCAGCAUAUUUCUGUUGAGUACAUUAAUGGUACUGCUGGUAUGUAUACAAUAGGCUCCAUAACCUCGAAGAAGUCGAGUCUGCUCCCAAACUAGAUUAGAGUCUAUGAUAAACUGGCAUUCAUUUAAAGAAGGAAAUGUCUUCACAGAGCAGUACAAAUAAUCGCUAACGAGCAUCCUUUCAUAAUGAAAUCUUUCAGACGAGGCAAGAUGCUCUAUCAAAGUGGUUGAACCGAACAGGAUUGUUGUUGACACUGGCCGGGUAAGUGUUUGUGUAGCCUAACUGUCCAAAUCAAAACAGCAGUUUUAAUUAGAGCAGUGACCUCAAAUAGCUUCCUCUACAGAUUAAGUUAUGCAGAGAUGAUGUAGUCUACCCAAUGUAGGACAAUAACUUUAAAGGCAUGAGUCCUGGUCUGAAGUUUCCUUUUAGUAAUGUUUCUCUUGUAAGGACGCGUAACAUCACAUCUUUUUAAUAUUCUCCAUUUCAGGGUCAUCAGCCCCAUUCUCUACUCUUUGAUGCAGUGUGGAACGAGAGCGCUAACCAGAAGGAUAUUUAUGAAUCGACAGCAAGGGUAGAUAAUCUACGCACCACAUGUUGAAGGGAAUCGUUUUGUGUAGUCAUGCUUGACUUUGGCAGUAACUCACUCACUCACCGAAAGACUUACCGGACUGGAAGUCACUGGAGAAACAAGUAAUUGAAAUGUAGCGCAGGAAAGAUGGGAGUUAGUGAUUUAUGAAGUCGGGAAAGCGCAAUGACUCAGGUCUGAGUCUGACGGGUCUAACGUGAAGUUCGUCUCCUCAGCCUCUGGUGGGGUCCCUCGUGCAGGGCUACAACGGCUGUGUCAUCGCGUACGGCUCCCGCUGCAGUGGAAAGACCUACACCAUGCUUGGCGGGAGCUUGACGGGCAAGCAGCGGGGUAUCCUCAGCCGCGUAGCCGAGGACAUUUUUAACUGUAUCCUUUUCCUGUUGUCAUUUGAGCCCCUGCUCCCCGUAUGUUCAGGCGCACCAGUAUAGGACAGUAUAUAACCUUGGACUGGACGUUUUGCCUGGGCCUUAUGAUGGAAAUAUGAAUAAAAUUGGUGUUUCAGCAGUGUUUGUGUAUUUU